rnacentral:rRNA from 1 species
UACGAAGGGGGCUAGCGUUGUUCGGAAUUACUAGGCGUAAAGCGCACGUAGGCGGACUAUUAAGUCAGGGGUGAAAUCCCGGGGCUCAACCCCGGAACUGCCUUUGAUACUGGUAGUCUCGAGUCCGGAAGAGGUGAGUGGAAUUCCGAGUGUAGAGGUGAAAUUCGUAGAUAUUCGGAGGAACACCAGUGGCGAAGGCGGCUCACUGGUCCGGUACUGACGCUGAGGUGCGAAAGCGUGGGGAGCAAACAGG